rnacentral:rRNA from 1 species
AGCGAACCCCUAAAAGCCGUCCCAGUUCAGAUCGCAGUCUGCAACCCGACUGCGUGAAGUCGGAAUCGCUAGUAAUCGCGGAUCAGCAUGCCGCGGUGAAUACGUUCCCGGGCCUUGUACACACCGCCCGUCACACCAUGAGAGUCGGGAACACCCGAAGUCCGUAGCCUAACCGCGGAGGGGGGCGCGGCCGAAGGUGGGUUCGAUAAUUGGGGUGAAGUCGUAACAAGGUACC